rnacentral:rRNA from 1 species
UUUUAUUAAAAUUAUUAAUAAUAAAAUCUGCUCAAUGAAUUUAAAUAGCCGCAAUACUGUGCUAAGGUAGCAUAAUAAUUCGUUUUUUAAUUUAAAACUAGAACAAAAGAUUAAACAUUUUAAUUAACUUCUUAAAUUUAUAAAUUAAAAUUAUCCUUAAAGUUAAAAGACUUUAAUAAUUUAGAAAGACGACAAGACCCUAUUGAACUUUACUAAAGUUAAACUGGGGAAGUUAAUUAAUUAUUAUUUUAGUAUAAUUAUUAAUAUAAAAGACCUAAUUAAAUUAAUUAAUUAAUUAAGUUACCAUAGGGAUAACAGCGUAAUGAUAAUUCAAAGUUCUUAUUUAAAUAUAUAAUUACGACCUCGAUGUUGAAUAAUAACCUAUAUUUAUGAAGAAGUAUAAUAAGGAAGUCUGUUCGACUUUUAAAAAAUUACA